rnacentral:lncRNA from 1 species
GCUUAACAAAGGAUUCCAAAAUCAAGCUUAUUCACGAAGGUUUUAAUUUUUUGAUCGUUCGUUUUUCUGUGAAACCCUAACGGUGUUGGUAUUAAGAUUUUAAUCAAAACCAACUGUUUGAUCCGUCUUGUGGUUCAACGUAUGUUUAUCUUUGUGCUUUUUCUUUUGUUAAUUGACUCAUACAAGAGUCCCUGCAUAUUUUCAAUUUCUAUGAUCCUUGAUCAAAAGAUGAUUGCUAGACCAACAAAGAUUAUAUGGAUCAAUUUGUUUUAGGGCUGUUAAAACUCGCUCUUACGAUCUGUUAGGGUUUCAAUUCAUUUGUUGUUUUAAAUGCACAAUAAAUUGAAAAUAUGAUUAGAACGAUUAGAGUUCUUGAUAUAUAUUAUUGCACACUUACACAUUUAUUGUUGAUUGAAGAAAAUUGUGAAGUUGGAAAUUAAUCGAUAAGGGUUUUAUCUUUGAAUAAAAUUGUUUUUUUUUCUAGAACGUUUUUUUUUUGACAAAUUAGAUGUCUUUUAUUGAUCAUAAUCAAUUCAUGGGAGAUGCGAAUGACUACACAAUUUUAUGGUCGUGAAGGCUGGGCAACAUUUUUCUUUAUUGCAGGUAUGUUUGUGUCCGGUGAGAAGCUCACGUCUAGCGAUUAGCAGCGGGUUAUGCUAAAACGGGUUGGUUUGACCCAAAACAUUUUUUAUCUCAUUAUGUUUGAUGGUUGUUGAGUGGGUUGGUUUGUUGUGAUGUGUUUAGGAUGAAUAGAGGAAGUUAAAUUGGGCAUGGAUGUUGUAUCUGCAGAGAUACUGGAGGGAUGCACUAGAUGCGAAAAAGGAGGCUUUGAUUCGGUUUCUUCAGAAUGGGUCGUUGGGGAUUGUUGGAGGUGAUGGGGUGAUGAAUGAUGAGGUGCAACAAUAUUUGACGGGGAAUACUCAAAAUAGGUUUAUAAUCUUCAAUAGGAGAAGGCACUUAUUGUCAGGGUUUCAUGGAAGGCCGCAGGUCAUUAAUAGGUAACUUGCAUAUCAUUGAUGGAAGCAAGGUCAGCCAUUGACUUGGGUAGAUUUAUAUGUGUGUUUGUUAUAUGUAUAUAUGUAUGUGUGUUUAAACUGUAAUAUAUACGAUAUGAUUUAUUACUUUUGAGGUUGAAAUAAUUUGUAUAGUGAAAAGAUGUAAGUAAAGGUGAGUUCUUGAAGCGAAGCCGCAUGACGCGUUGGUAUUUUUUUCAAGGAAAUGCAAUCUGGUAGAUUCUGAAUCGGAUUUUAGAGACAAGAAAUAUGAUCGCUACCAGGCAUACUUAACCGAGUCUAACAUUGCAAGUCAUGAAUAGGUUACUUGCAUAUCAUUGAUGGAAGCAAGGUCAGCCAUUGACUCGUGAAAAGAUGUAGAAAAAGGUGAGUUCUUGAAGCGAAGCCGCUUGACGCGUUGGUAUUUUUUUUCAAGGAAAUGCAAUCUGUUCUUGAGCUCUUGAAGUGAUCCAUGAACCAAAUGGACCAACACCGUAUUCACAAUUUGAUCAUUCUUCUAUCGCGAUAACUGUAAAGAAAUUCUUCAAUUUAGAAUCCGAUUUCUUGACCAAGCGCGAUGAGUGGGCUGGCACCUUUGAGAGUUACUUCAACCUUCGUAGUACUCCACGUGAGGAUUGUCCAGGUUGAGGAUCCAGCUGAAGUUGAGGUGGUAUAGACACAUGUUAGUGGCAAUUUAGUAGCUAAGGAGGCGAAGCCAGCUCUGCAUGCUACCCAUGCUAUCCAUGACAAAGAAGUUAAAGGACAAAAGUCCAACUUUUCUUGAAUAAGUCAACCUGGAAGUUACUACCUGCACAAGAGAAAUUCAUAGUCAAAUCAGUGCUAUAAGAAUAGAUGCAAUUAUCAACAUGAUGUCUCCUUCACACAUUAUAUCCUUUUAUGAGGUUCUACAGUUCUUUCGUUUUUAGUUAUUUAUUUUCUUGGCCUAUGUGACCUGUACUGGUCGCUUUCUUCCCCUUAAGGCCGUUUAUGGUGGAGUUUGGCCUAACAUUUUAAAGUCGGACAUGUUUGGGUGCAACAACACGGUCAACGUCUAGAAAUUAAUCAAAGGUAUAGUUGGUGAUGGCAGCUCUAUUUGGUUCUGGGUUGAUGCUUGGGUGGCGGAUGUAACUCUUCAGUCUCUCUACUCGGCCUUAUUUCAGCUUGAAACUAAUAAACACUUGAAACUAAUAAACACUGUACGGUCAAAGAUCACAUCCCCACCACGUCGGAGACUACGGGGUUGACGUGGGUCUAGUCUUAUGAAAUGGAUUCUGCUGAUGAGCUGAAUGAGCUUUGGGAUUGUUGCAACCGGUUGUUUGGGAUCAACAUCCCUGGUGGGGUUGACAAAUGGAAUUGGUUGGGGGAAUCAUAUGGGGAAUUCUCAGUUAGAAUCUUAAAAUGUCUUCUUCAAAGCGAGGUUGUGGUUUCAACUAAUGAUCACUUUGAAUAGGUCAAGUGGUUGCCCAAAAAAGUCAAUAUCUUUACCAUAUUCACCCCUUUUCUCAAGCCUUCGCGACUUGCAAAAUGAUUCAUUUGGUUAUUAUCCUUGCUUGCUGGGUAAUUUGGAAGAAAAGAAACGAAGUGAUCUCUAAUUGCCUGACUGACCCGGUGAAAAUGUUGAAAGAUGUCAAAGCUUUGGGGUUCUUAUGGGUGUAUAACGGAGCUAACCUUCUAUCCUUUGAUUGAAACAGUUGGUACAACUUUUUAGUUUAUGUAACCUCUGUAUAUUCUCAUGUUGUAUAGCCUUUGGCUUGCUUUUUUUUAAUAAAUUUGGCUGAUAAAAAAAUAUUUUGAAGACAUUUAGUGCAGGAUCAAAAUCAUGUGAUAGCUUCAAAGAGGAUUCAUAGACAAUUUACUUUGCUUUUAUU